rnacentral:rRNA from 1 species
UCCUACGGGGGGCAGCAGUAGGGAAUCUUCCACAAUGGACGAAAGUCUGAUGGAGCGACGCCGCGUGGGUGAAGGAGCGUUUCGGCGCGUAAAGCCCUAUCGGCAGGGAAGAAGAUGACGGUACCUGACCAAGAAGCCCCGGCUAACUACGUGCCAGCAGCCGCGGUAAUACGGAGGGGGCAAGCGUUAUCCGGAUUUACUGGGGGUAAAGGGGGCGCAGACGGCAAUGCAAGCCAGGAGUGAAAGCCCGGGGCCCAACCCCGGGACUGCUCUUGGAA